rnacentral:misc_RNA from 1 species
AACUGAUACUACCUGCGGGAACCUGCGGAAGGAUCAUUCGUGAAGCAGGCGCUCCGUCGCCCUUCUCUACCCUUCAACCAUGUGGUCUUCUGCCAUUGCCUCGGGGGGGUUUGAGGCGGCCUCGGCCGUCGGGGCCCCUUGCUGGGCCCCGCCCCCCCGCGUGCCCUUGAUAAAGUCUUGGAGUGAUAUUUGCGUCUGAUCUGUCCGGUGGACAUAAUGAAAAUAAAACUUUUAACAAUG